GCUGUCAUAGCUCAGGGGUAGAGCACUUCAUUGGUAAUGAAGAGGUCGCAGGUUCAAUUCCCGCUGACAGCACCA
rnacentral:tRNA from 1 species